UGCCGGAAGGAGAAAGCUGCCUUGUGCGGGAAGUGGGAGGGGGCAGACAGACCUCUGUGGUCCCAGGCUUCCCAGCUCGCACCCCAAGGCUCUGCCACUCUCCCUUCCUUCCUCAGGGCUAGGGCACCCAGGUGCUGGCCACAAACCCAGAGCAAAGGUGACACCUGGCCCUGGAGAAACCCUGCAACCCUGUCCUGGUUCCAAAUCCUGAAGCAGCUCCUGCCUUCCUGUCCCUCAUCUUCAACAAUUUUCAACAAAGUUUCUACUUGGGAGAGAAGGGUAGCUCCAGCUGCUCCCAGGAGACCCAAGCCCUGUGGCUUCUCAUGCCCAGCCUGCUAGCAGAUGCCCAGUGGCCAACCAACUCGCUCCCGCAGCUGCCGUGGGGGGCCAGGUCAGGCGCACAGGGGUAAGGUGGGGACAGCAGCAGGCAUGGUGUCUGCCCUGGGAAGGCAGAACCAGAAACGGGCAGUGGUCAGAGGGCCUGCCCCUCCUGUGUCCCUCUUUCAAAGCGCAAGCUGCACUUGGGGUGGGUUGCCAGGUUCCCGGGCAUAGCAGGGCCAGCACUCAGGGAUACGGGAACAGCACCCACGUCCCCCUCUCCAAGGAAGAAGGUGACAGCCUGGGGUGCAAUUUGAAAUUUGUGAAAGUUCUUUAGUUUCAAAUGUCAGAGAUUCUAGAAAGCUGGAACCCGCACGGUGGUGGUGUUCUGGAACUCGUCGGGAUGCCCGAAUUCUAGAAUUCCAGAAGGGUCCUGGGUGAGGACGCAGACCUCAGAGACAUCACCGGUUCUGUUUGCCAGGCUGCAGCUUUGAAUCUCGACCACGACCACCUUGUGGGGGCCUCAGCUCCUGGGAAAAUCUGGGGAAGAGAAAGAACUAUCUCCUGAGUUCUGUGUUCCGCAGACGAUCACUGUCUGUCUGUGACUCUGUCUGCGGAGCUGUCUGCUCGUCUCUCCUGGAUUCGGAGCUGCCAGAAUUCAUAUCAGAAGAGUGAACGCAGGGACAUCUGUGUGCGGAAUGACUGUGCCUACUGGAACCUGCCAAUCGCUCCUGGCACCAGGUGCAUUAGCAGGGAGCCGACUCAGAAGUGGAGCAGCUGGGACUCGAACCAGCGCAGACGUGUGGGAUGCCAGCCACUGCUUCGUCGCCUUUGAAGAGGGGUGGGGAAGGGCGAGCAAGUUCCAUAGCCUAGGCUCCAGCCUGCCUCGUUAAGAGUCCGGCUCACCUCUCUUUCUUCCUCCCAGGCGGCCUGUCUGCUGGCAGCCUCCUAAUUAUGUUUUACUUGACUAUAAAUCUUUCCGUUAAGUGUAAUUGAAUAAUACACCUUUUGAAUCAUCACAUUAA